rnacentral:rRNA from 1 species
GACGAACGCUGGCGGCGUGCUUAACACAUGCAAGUCGAACGGAAAGGCCCUGCUUUUGUGGGGUGCUCGAGUGGCGAACGGGUGAGUAACACGUGAGUAACCUGCCCUUGACUUUGGGAUAACUUCAGGAAACUGGGGCUAAUACCGGAUAGGAGCUCCUGCUGCAUGGUGGGGGUUGGAAAGUUUCGGCGGUUGGGGAUGGACUCGCGGCUUAUCAGCUUGUUGGUGGGGUAGUGGCUUACCAAGGCUUUGACGGGUAGCCGGCCUGAGAGGGUGACCGGCAAUAUUGGGGCUGAUAUGCGGCCCGACGUCCUCGGGAGGGAGGAAGGGGGGAUUUUGGCAAAAGGGGGGGAAGCUUGAGCCAGCACCGCCGGGUGGGGGAGGAGGCCUUGCGGUUGUAAAACCGUUUGCCCCGGUGAAGAAGGGGGAGGGAGGUGAAUGGGUAGAGAGGCCCGGCCUAGCUACGUC